rfam:Rhizobium mesoamericanum STM3625 genomic scaffold, ANZ_1636
AGCUGAUGCACACGGUGGCUUUUCCUCCCAGUUCCACCGCAUUAGCUGUUCCCCUCUGGAGGUUUUGACCUUCACACCUAUAAGGGCCCCGAUUUUUCGGCGGCCCUCUUUU